rnacentral:rRNA from 1 species
AAUAUUUGACAAUGGGCGAAAGCCUGAUCCAGCCAUGCCGCGUGUGUGAAGAAGGUCUUCGUAUUGUAUAGCACUUUAAGUUGGGCGGAAUGGCAGUAAGUUACUACCUUGCUGUUUUGACGUUCCCGACAGAAUAAGCACCGGCUCACUUCGUGCCAGCAGCCGCGGUAAUACGAAGGGUGCAAGCGUUAAUCGGAAUUACUGGGCGUAAAGCGAGCGUAGGUGGGUCGUUAAGUUGGAAGUGAAAGCCCCGGGCUUAACCUGGGAAUUGCUUUCAAAACUGACGAGCUAGAGUACGGUAGAGGGUAGUGGAAUUUCCUGUGUAGCGGUGAAAUGCGUAGAUAUAGGAAGGAACAUCAGUGGCGAAGGCGACUACCUGGACUGAUACUGACACUGAGGUGCGAAAGCGUGGGGAGCAAACAGG